rnacentral:rRNA from 1 species
UCGCGCUAGGACGAACGCUGGCGGCGUGCCUAACACAUGCAAGUCGAGCGGAGAUUAUAGCAAUAUAAUCUUAGCGGCGGACGGGUGAGUAACGCGUGAGCAACCUGCCUUUCACAGGGGGAUAACACAGGGAAACUUGUGCUAAUACCGCAUAAGAUCAUAGGAGGACAGUCCUCCAGUGACCAAAGGAGCAAUCCGGUGAGAGAUGGGCCCGCGUCCAAGUUUAGCUAGUUGGUGGUGUAACGGACCACCAAGGCGACGAUUGGUAGCCGAACUGAGAGGUUGAUCGGCCACAUUGGGACUGAGAUACGGCCCAGACUCCUACGGGAGGCAGCAGUGGGGAAUAUUGCGCAAUGGGGGGAACCCUGAACCGCAGCAACGCCGCGUGAAGGAUGAAGGUUUUCGGAUCGUAAACUUCUUUGAUGAGGGACGAAAGAAAUGACGGUACCUCAAAAACAAGCCACGGCUAACUACGUGCCAGCAGCGGC